UUAGAGUUUGAUCCUGGCUCAGGAUGAACGCUAGCUACAGGCUUAACACAUGCAAGUCGAGGGGAAACGAUAUUGGAAGCUUGCUUCCGAUAGGCGUCGACCGGCGCACGGGUGAGUAACGCGUAUCCAACCUGCCCAUCACUUGGGGAUAACCUUGCGAAAGUAAGACUAAUACCCAAUGAUAUCUCAAGAAGACAUCUGAAUGAGAUUAAAGAUUUAUCGGUGAUGGAUGGGGAUGCGUCUGAUUAGCUUGUUGGCGGGGUAACGGCCCACCAAGGCUACGAUCAGUAGGGGUUCUGAGAGGAAGGUCCCCCACAUUGGAACUGAGACACGGUCCAAACUCCUACGGGAGGCAGCAGUGAGGAAUAUUGGUCAAUGGGCGAGAGCCUGAACCAGCCAAGUAGCGUGCAGGAUGACGGCCCUAUGGGUUGUAAACUGCUUUUAUAAGGGAAUAAAGUGAGCCUCGUGAGGCUUUUUGCAUGUACCUUAUGAAUAAGGACCGGCUAAUUCCGUGCCAGCAGCCGCGGUAAUACGGAAGGUCCGGGCGUUAUCCGGAUUUAUUGGGUUUAAAGGGAGCGUAGGCCGGAGAUUAAGCGUGUUGUGAAAUGUAGAUGCUCAACAUCUGCACUGCAGCGCGAACUGGUUUCCUUGAGUACGCACAAAGUGGGCGGAAUUCGUGGUGUAGCGGUGAAAUGCUUAGAUAUCACGAAGAACUCCGAUUGCGAAGGCAGCUCACUGGAGCGCAACUGACGCUGAAGCUCGAAAGUGCGGGUAUCGAACAGGAUUAGAUACCCUGGUAGUCCGCACGGUAAACGAUGGAUGCCCGCUGUUGGUCUGAAUAGGUCAGCGGCCAAGCGAAAGCAUUAAGCAUCCCACCUGGGGAGUACGCCGGCAACGGUGA
rnacentral:rRNA from 1 species